rnacentral:rRNA from 1 species
UGGGGAAUCUUAGACAAUGGGGGCAACCCUGAUCUAGCCAUGCCGCGUGAGUGAUGAAGGCCUUAGGGUUGUAAAGCUCUUUCAGCUGGGAAGAUAAUGACGGUACCAGCAGAAGAAGCCCCGGCUAACUCCGUGCCAGCAGCCGCGGUAAUACGGAGGGGGCUAGCGUUGUUCGGAAUUACUGGGCGUAAAGCGCACGUAGGCGGACUGGAAAGUCAGAGGUGAAAUCC